GCCUUCGCGGUGCAACAAUAGCACACUCGACUCGUAUUCGAGAGUUCUAGGUUCGAGUCCCGGCAAGGGCA
rnacentral:tRNA from 1 species